UACGUAGGGGGGCGAGCGUUGUCCGGAUUUACUGGGCGUAAAGCGCGUGUAGGCGGCCCGUUAAGUGGGGUGUGAAAGCCCGGGGCUCAACCCCGGGACGCCGCUUCAAACUGGCGGGCUUGAGGACGGAAGAGGGGAGUGGAAUUCCUGGUGUAGCGGUGAAAUGCGUAGAGAUCAUGAGGAAGACCAGUGGCGAAGGCGGGUCUCUGGACAGUUCCUGACACUGAGGCACGAAGGCCAGGGGAGCAAACGGG
rnacentral:rRNA from 1 species